AGUCAGAGAUCCAGGAUUCAUGUCUAAGCACUUGCUGUGUAUCUUUGGGGAACAUGCUUUACCUUUCUGGAUUCCACAGCCCAAGGAGGACAGUUAAGAAGACAUGGGCAGGAGUUCCCGUUGUGGUGCAGUGCUUAACAAAUCUGACUAGGAACCAUGAGGUUGCAGGUUCGAUCCCUGGCCUUGCUCAGUGGGUUAAGGAUCUGGCUUUGCCGUGAGCUGUGGUGUAGGUCACAGACGCGGCUUGGAUCCCACAUUGCUGUGGCUGUGGCGUAGGCCUGUGGGUAUAGCUCUGAUUAGACCCCUAGCCUGGGAACAUCCAUAUGCAGCGGGAGUGGCCCUAGAAAAGGCAAGAAGACCAAAAAAAAAAAAAAAAGAGGACAUGGGCAUUUUAAGGUUGUUUAGUGUUCUAAGUUAAAAAGGGAAACGAAAAGUAGAUGGCAGAUUCUUCUGCUGUUGACCCAAGUGCUAAUAAGAAUGUGCCCAGAGGGGAGGUUGCCUUUCUUGAGCAGCCCACAAGGAUGAUCCCCUGCUUCUCUCCCUUCUUUUUAAAAGCAUUGGCGGAGUUCCCGUUGUGGCGCAGCAGAAACGAAUCCAACUAGGAACCAUGAGGUUGUGGGUUCGAUGCCGUGAGCUGUGGUGUAGGUCGCAGAUGCAGCUUGGAUCUGAUGUUGCUGUGGUGUAGGCCGGCAGCUGUAGCUCCAAUUGGAGCCCCUAGUCUGGGAACUUCCAUAUGCUGUGGGUGCAGCACCCCCCCCCAAAAAAAAAGCGUUGGCAACUAAGAAAGGGCGGGUCUGCACAGAAGGGAGGCAUGGAUUCCAUAUUAUUCCCUCUCAACUCACCUCUCAGCUACCGCCAUUUAUAUGUGUUUUUUACUGGGGGAGCAUUAGGGGUAAAAAUUUAGUUCUAAUGCUCCCCUCAUCCCUGUACUUUUAGUUAUUUAUAUCAUAGAAGACCCUGUAGAGGAGAAAUUCAUAAUAGUAAACUUUGGCCUUCAAGGAGUGAAAUCAUACCAUGAAAAUUGUAGAAGUCUCCAAACUAUAGCAUUGACCAUGGUUUUUGUGUAAAUUUGAUGCCUAGAUUUCAGGGCAAGACUGCCUCUUGCAAAAUUUUGUCCAUCCCUGUUGUCUUCUUUGGUAAGCAGCAAUUUUUUGUUCUGAGUAUUGCUGCUUCCCAUUGCCUGAGCCUUCUGUCCAGAGGAAGAAUAGCAAUUGUUAAAACUGAAGUUAUUGCAUUUUUUUUUGACACUCACAGAAUGACUUGCAGUAUAAUCAAAACUAAGAAGGAAAAGAGAUCCUUUGCAGUCAGAGAUUCCACUCAGCUCCACAUAAAAUUUUUCCAUUGUAGUGGGUUGUCUUUAUAGUAAUUUGGCGGCAAGAUCUCUGUGCACUUUUCCCCACUGUGUACCCAGGGAACGUGGGGAGACUUCAACUCAAGUAAAAGGGCUCCUCUACUUAGGCUCUAUCUCCUCGCCCCUCUUCUUGCCUGGUGCUGCAGGCAUCUGGUUUUAUAUUUUAAGGAACCCAGGAAACUCAUAGUUUCCAGGGAGGUUGCCUAGAGGGACAAAUGUGCAGAGAUCACCCCUCUCCAUUUCCCCCUUCUCCCUGCUGGCUGAAUUCUGUCUCAGGGUACAAGUUACUUUGCGAGUCACUGAGACCAUCUGCACGACCUGGACCCCCUAGUUACUUCUGGACACAAUGAACCAGAAGGGGGACAAGAUAGCCACUAAGCUGCCCUGGCUUCAUUGGGAAGCGUGCUGUGUCCAUUGUGAGGUUUGAAGGGUGCCCUGGAAGGACUCAGGGCGUGGGUUAGUUACCACAGGCAGGGCAUCACACCACAGCUGGAAGGGGGCAAAUGACUUCUUCUUUUCUGCAGAUGUUGACACAGGGUGCCAUCUAGACCCCUCUGAUGGGAAACAAGAAUGGCAGUAACCAAUGGACAUUGCCUGAAACCCACAGUUCCCUUUGAUUUGGCUUGAACACCUUGGGGCUUUUUAAGUGUGGAGAAUUGUCCUUUCUGCAACUGACAACAGCCCCGGCUGCCAGUGUUGCUGGAGCAUCUGAGUCUGUUUCCCAAGCACGCCAUCGUAGUGGGGAAUGUGGGCUCAGCCACAUGUUACAAAUGUGAAUUCUGGAACUGGGAGGUGGGUUCCAAUGAGGUGGUGUGAGAGUGAGGGGGAAGUAGCUCCCCAGAGAAAAAUUGGGAUGUCUCAGAGAGGAAGGAGUUCCCGAGUAACUUAGACCAGCUCUCCCUGUUACAGUGCUGUAGACAUGACCGCCUGACAGAGCCUCUGUACACUUCAGCUGCUCAGUAGCUUAGGAGUAUCGCCUAGUGUGUUUUCUUGAGAGAACUCCGUGAGAUUAAAUUGUAAAAAUGUGUGUAAAAUUUCUGAGACAUAGCCGGAUCAUAAAAAGGAACUUAUACAAAAUUAGAUUUAGUGUCUCCAUUGCUCUCUCGUAUUAGACAUUCUCUAAGUUCUUUAGACUUGGUUACUCUUUUCCUCGUUUCCUUAACCACUGAGGUUGCCUUAACUCAACAUAAAGAACUCCUUCCAGUUAUAGCUUUGAAUCUGGCCUUUGGUAUCCCCUGGGACCGAAACUAUUUUUUUUUCUAUGUGUUUAUUGUGGUGGUUAUGAUUAUUAAUUUGCCAUCAAAAGAAAGUGUAUCCUUAAUCAGUUUGUUUCAGCAUCUCAUCUCACAUUUCUUAAUCAAAGCCCUGAAAUGCAGAACUCAGCCUGCUGGCGAAGCAGGCUUUAUGGUUUAGUUUGCGUAGCUCAUGCAAAAAAUGUUCCCCAUGACCUGCCUCCCUAAUAAUUCUUGAGGGUUGAACUUAUGCUCAGAUAGUUACAUCUGGUUCUACAGUUAACAAAUGGGUCAGAAGGAAGAGGAGUGAAAAAAACCAUUCACCCCCCCCGCCCCUUAUUUUUUCUCAGUGUGAAGUCAUUUGCUUUUCUUUCUAGCCCAUACCAAGUCUUCAGAAGUUGAGCCAGGCAGAUGGUGAGGUUAUAGCUUGGGCAAAAUGUGUUCUAAUGUUAUCAGCUUUAAAGGAGCACAUGGAGCAGGGAGGAAAAAUGGUUUGUGGUAUUUUUGUUUAUUAAAUUUGAUGGUUGGAUUAUGACAUUUAUAUUUAUUAAAUGUACAGAAUCUCAUCCAUCACUGUUGACAGUCAGAACAUGUCCUCUGCGGUUGGCAUAGCCUGUCUCUUCCUGCAAAGAGAUCUAACAUUUAUUCUUAUUUGGGAGACUAAGAAGAGGUGGAGAAAAAAGGAGAUCCACCCUUUAGUGCUACCACCCUGGGGAAAUGGGAGUAUGAGAUAAGUGUUAUUGUGUUUGAUUCUGUCAUGUUAAGCAUUUUCCUUGUUUGGGUUGUGAGUUGGUUUGCUGGUGCUGUGGAAGGCAUUCUCAGCGCCAUGGGAGCAGUGUGGCCAGUGAACCCAGCCUAGGAAAAGUAUAUAGGAAGAGGGCUCUCGGCUUUGCCCCAUUAAAAUCCUGGCAUCGGCUAUGGUUGAAAUGAUGUCGCGAUGGCUUUGUCUAGUGGCUAGAGCCCUUCAGCAGCCAGGCGUCUUCAUUACGCUCUGGAUUUUAUUACCUACCAGAUGUGGGCCCCUUGGAUAUUUUAUUAGAGCACCAGGUGAGCUGAUGAAAGGACAGCACUCCAACUGCCUUCCAAACGACUCCGGGUUCACUUGAGCUUUGUUUACAUGUAAGGGAAGACAGGGGCUGGCAAGGCUUAGAGAAGGCACUAUCCCCCCAUCAAGUUUCUCAGUAGGUCUUAAGGUGAAAGAGAUGGUAUGCUUGCUUGAGGCUUAUGGAUCUUUUCCAGAGUCUAACUGAAAGAUGUUUUUAUAGCCAAUGUGCAAAUGAAUGAGACACAUGGGUUCAAUCUCUCCAGCCACAUAAGAUUCCAAAAAUAAAAGGUUCAUUUAGGUUUGAGCAAACCCAGUACAUUUGGAAACCAGUUAACCCAACAUAUUGCCCGCACAGCCUGGAAACCUUUGAAUUAUAUUUAGGAUGCUAACCUGGAGAAAAGAUUAAGUCCUUUUCUUUCCCCCAACCCUACCUCCUUGGCCUCCCUUUUAGGGCUAAUGUUGGGUUCUAACUUCAAUCAUUAGUAGCCUAGUUGACAUGUUCUAAAGCAGCAGCCCAUGUGCAGUUGCUUUGUCUAAGGAAGAUGUCAGGCAAUGCUUUACAUAGGCUUCACACAAAUUUUUACUGCCAAGUAUUUCUUUCUCUUAAGUUAACUUAGAACUUGGGAAAUAGUUUACAAGAGUCUCAUGUAAUAAUCUAAUCAUUUUUAAAAUUGGGCAAAUAACUAUGAAUUGUACUGUAAGUCAUAAUGAGCAUUUUUGGGUACAGCUCUAGUCUAUGUAUUAUGAGGGCUAUUAAACAAAGGUAAAUGGCAGUUUAUCUCUAGAGAGUUUAAACAAAACGUGCCAAAAGCCAGACCUCUAUGAAGAGGCACAAUUUCCUGCUAGAUUUGUGUGUGUGUGUGUGAGUGUGUGUGCGCGUGCAUGCGUGCGUGUAUCUGAUUAUACAAAUGGACUGUAAACAUUUCCAGGGGUGGGAGAGAGUGCAGGUCCUGGGUGUUAACAAGGCAGAGGUCAUGAGUGCACUUCCCACAUGGUCCAGUUGGCUCUGCUCCAUCCCUCUGUCACAGAGACCCCCUCAGAGGCGGUCCACCCUGACUAUUCUGAACUUCACAUGAGUGAAGCCAGGACUCAUUUAUGGAGCGGGGAGGAAGGAUACUCUAAGUCUUCUUCAUCUUUUCUGGAAUCAAAGCAAUACUAUGCAAGAUGAUGUAAUUUUAAUUCUACACACAAUAUGUUUACUGCAGUUCUCAUCUGCUACUUGAAUGAAAGAAUAUUUGUGAGCACAUAGUAUAUGCAAGAGUAUAUAUGUGUGUAUAUAUAUAUAUAUUUUUUUUCCCCUCAUUUGAUUCUCACAACAGCUUUCUGCUAUAGGGAUUUAGCAUCCCCAUUUCACUGCUAAAAAAACCCUAAAAUCAGAGCCUGGUGUAUAGUAGAUGCUCAAUAAAUAUAUGUUAAUGACUGAAUGAAACUCAGAUUAAAGAUCUUGUGUUUGCUCAUGGUCAUAAAGCAAGUGAGAGGCAAAGGAAGGAACCCGGUUCAUGUCGCUCCAGAGCCUACUCUUUUCUUGACAAUGAGCCUGAGAAUCAGCACAGGAAGAUCACUGUACGGCCCAGUCCUCAGAUGGUUAUGGCUCAGGAAAGAAAAGCGCACCUACGAAGAUGUCUCCAUCCUCCACCUGAGUGUUUUGUUGUAGAUGUACUAAGAGUUGUGGAUCUCCCAGCGUUUCCUUCUUUGAUCUGACCCCUAGCUAUGGAACAGAGGUCUGGAGAGUAUUGGGUUUGGAGCCGCUCAUCUUUCUGGAAAGAUUUGUAGCCAUUGCAAAAUGGGGGGUCGGUGGGUGGGAUGCUGAGGGCAAGGCAAGCAGAGGUAAGCAGAAGUGUCAUGGACCCAGGAGCAAUCCUGAAAUCUUUGAUCUGUGUUUGCCUCCGUAAGUCACUAGACCCCUGAAAAACAGAUUUCAGGGUUCCGUAGGUUGAAGCACACCGAUACCACACUUGGGAGAGAACUGCUAUUUUAUUGCCCCAAUUAACUGCUUUAUUUGUUUAUAAAUUCUUCCCUUUUCUGUUUUAUGAUGUAGUUGUGGUGUGUUUAAUGGAACUGCAAGAUUAAAACUGGCAAGAUGACUGCGUGUUACAUUUCCAAAGCCAAUAAAUGGUUUGAAUCCAGAAUGUUUGUGGCCCUUUCCAAAAAUAUUUGGUUUCUCUAAAAAGCAACAGCUGUUGGGAAAUGGAUGGAAGUUUUUACUGUCGUGUGUAUAGCAUUUUAUUUAAUGCUUUUAUUCUUUUGGGGAAUUUGCCUGCCUGAUAACAGAUAAAGCAAAAGGAACUUGGUAAAAUAUAAAAACUCAUGAUGUUAAAAUCAGCAAGUUGGAUGUGAAAUUUAAAGUCUCACAAGAAAACAAAGAAUCUCUUUCUAAAAUACUUUUUGCCGAGUGGAAAUUUUUUGCCUCUGUGAGAAUAGAUAUGUUUUUAAAAAUUCACCUUCCACUAAUACUUCUGUCAUAUUUUGCAGUUUACAAAGCACAUUAUAAGGCUGGAUGGAGGAUAAUGUGAGAAAAAGAAUGUAUAUAUGUAUGUGUGAAGGGGUCACCUUGCUGUGCAGUAGAAAAUUGACAGAGCAUUAUAAACCAACUAUAAUGGAAAAAAUAAAAAUCAUUAAAAAAGAAAAAAAGGCUGCUGUCCUAAAGGCUGCCACCCCUGUUUUUGGCAAGCUGCUAAAACCCUAAAUCGGGAGUGGGGCUUGGUAAUCUGAGUUUUUAACAGGCUCUUAAGUGAUUCUGAGACAGGUGAUCUACAGACUCUACUUUCAGAAUGUCAGCCUAAUGAGUCAGAAGGUUCACAGGAGACAGUUCUGCUUAGUUGAUAGCUAGAGAAAUCACAGUUCAGCUCGGCUCUGGCCUCUGCCUCAGUGCUCUAUUAAAUGGGCUUACUUUCACCCCUAAAUUGUAGGCUUUGCUUCUGCUUGUUGCUGUUGCUCUGCAGGGUGGCAACCCCACACAUCUGCACCAUCAGCUGAUGCCUUGGCUCCCAGUGGCAUCAGAGGUCACCAGGGAGAUGGAUAGACAUGAAUGUGUGCUUCAGUGGAAAGGGAGCUGGACUCUACAUGAGGCAGUUUAGUGUUUUGAGUUUUAUGUGUGAACCCGGCCACCCCUUAGCCAUGCAAGAGGUUGAAGGAUUGGGGAGAAAAGAGAAAAAGAAAGAUGAGUAAGGUAAUGAAAUUUAUCUUUUCUUGCUUGAUGAUUUAUAUCAAGCUUUCUGUCCAUCUAAGAGCUUCUGGGAAAAGACAGAUAUCAGCUGAAAGGUCUUGAGCAAAACAGAGCGACAGAGAGGACAGAUAAGAGAGUGGGUGAAACCCUAAGAGACAAGGAAGCAUGCCUGGAUUUCUCAAAGUGACACAUUCUAUCCAGAGGUUCUCCACCAUAGGACGAGGAAAGGGCGAUGCCCUCAACUCGCAGAUGAGGAGAAUUGUAAUAUCAGAUAAUGGUAGAUUGUCAAAAUACAAGGAUCUUCUGAACUAAUUAUGAAAUGUAAGUCCAGAACUGUUUGGUCUGUAACAGUUUAAAAUUUUGCACAAUUUUUAUUAUCAUGGAACAUACCAACAGCUGCCAUAUAACCAUGCUCUCACCCUCUCUCCACUCCUUACUUGAUUCAUGCUAUGCCUCCCAACACUCGUUUCUCUAAAAACUUUUCUUAUUGUUCUGGCAUGAGUUAGAAAGUGGUGGGCUGGGGUCCAGACUCUGUGUCCCCCCCUCCCCUCAUCCUGGGCUUGACUGCCAACUUCCUGGCUGACCUUGGAAGGCUCGACUCACCACUUUGGGUCGCAGUUCCCUCCUCUGUAAAAAGAAGUGGUUGAGACAGUAAUCUCUAUACCUCUUCCAUGUCUAACACUCUGGAUUCCCUUACUAUUUUCAGGGUACUUUCUAAAGAAUUUACUAACUUUUUCCUGUAAGAUAUAAUAAAAGGCUACUCAUUAGAAAAAGUGAGAUGUUUAUUAGACAUAAGGAGAAUUCUCCUAACAGUAAAGAGACUAAAACAUUUGGUCUCUAUUAGUCUGCUAGGGCUGUCCUAGCAAAGGACCAGUGAGUGGGUGGUUUAAACAGAAAUUUAUUGUCUCCUAAUACUGGAGGCUAGGAGUUCCAGAUCAAGGUGUCAGCAGGGUUGAUUUCUUCUGAAGCCUCUCUCCUUGGCUUGGAGAUGGUCUUCUGCUCACUUUGUCUUCCCAUGAUUUUCCUUUUCUGUGUGUCUGUGUCCUAAUCUUUUCUUUUAAGAACACUAGUCAGAUUAGGACCCACUCUAACAACCAUUGAAUUAUAUUACCUCUUUAAAGAUCCUACCUCCCAACAUAGGCAUAUUGUAGGUCCUAGGGUUAGGAUUUCCACAUUUGAAUUUGAGGGGGAUGCAACUUCAGCCUAUAGCAGCCCCCAAACUGGGCUAUUUUCAGAGUAUGGAAAACACAGCUUGCUUGGGCAAAGCCCCAGAUUAGAGGAGCAAAGAGGAGGAUUAGAUGAACUCUCGAAGAUCUCACCAGUUCUAGGGGUUUGUGUUAUUGCGUCAAACUCCUCAAACCCAACACCUCAUCACCAGGAACAUG
rnacentral:lncRNA from 1 species